UUGAAGUAGAAGGUGAUUUAGGGACGGACGGACAGACAGACAACAGGAAAACAGAAGCGUCAUCAUUCCAACAAUGACAUUAACAUCACUACCAACUGAACAUUCAUAUUUACCUUCACAUUUUGUUUUUUAAACGAUACAACAUAUUUUACCACAUUAAAAUUGUACUGAUUUAAUUUGUUUAAACAUAAAGAUACACCGGUGUAUGUAUUAAGGUAAUUGUAACGUUUGGUAUGAAUUUCGGUCACGAACACACUGAUCGACAUGACAGAAAUUUGUAUUAGGAGCUAAGGAAAUGAAACAAAUGAACACGAAACAGAACUCGUCGACCUUUUUUUAUUUCCCCGUUUUAAUUCAUAAAUACGCAUAGAUCCACGUCGGUUUCACAUUUAACCAAAUUGCGACAUAGGGCUCAUUUGUAACUUCAGAAAAUAACACAGCCAGCUGAAAUUCGACUUUUAACACGCGCUCUGUUGGCACACGCGACAACUACACUUCGCACAACAGCCAGCAACAAUAAUUCUGCAGUGGGAUUUUACAGUCUGUUUUAUUUGAAAGCUGUGAGUGUAAAUGAAGGGGUAAAAAUAAAGGAAAGGAAUCAGAAAGGAAAGAAGGAAGAAGAAGAAGAAAAAUGACAUGGUUUUAUCUUCAUGGCGUGUACUCAGAGCUUCAGCUGACUGCCGUUCCUAUCGUUACAUUUUGUUCCUAUAUCUCAAGUCGUUUGUUUGCUAGCUUGAGGUAGCGAGCACAGGGCGUCCAAAAAAUUCUCACCUCGGUUAUUCGGAAGAGGGAUAACUAAGUAUCAAAAUGGGCAACUCACUGGCCAAGAUGCACACUUACAUCGCGGAGGAACUCCGCCCCAAAACUAGUGUCAUCACUGCUCGUGGUCUCAGAAAACAUUACGGGGUACACGAGAGGAGGAACGGCUAGAUUUCAGAAGUUGGAGGAUCUACUUCGCCCGCCCCCCAGUGCGUGAAGACGUAGCCAUGCUCAUGGAGUUCGAGAGCGUGCCGCUGUGAUGCGCUGCGAUGCUGAUAGUAAGAGAUUGGGUAACGCGGUAAGGCGUGGAGCGGCGUACGUCCGUCGAAUUGCAUUCUCCUGAUCAAUAACGACCCGGUAACAAACGCUCUCAGAACAAGGACAUGACCACGGAUAAAGAACACGCCAACAUUUUCCCGUAACUUAUGCUUAUUUUCACGAAAAUCUAUGAAAAACUGUAUCUUGAAUACGUUAUUGUAACUUUAAAAUUAAAAUGUCUAGUUUUAGUCGUGCGUUUGUCCAUGCGAAUUAAAACUGGCGAAGGAAAAUUAGAUCACAACAGAAAAUACAUGCAAG